AAUGAUGGAAAACUGAAGCAGCCAAAUAAGCGACUUGCUCUUGCAUGCCCUCGACGAUCUCACCCAGGAAAACUUCAAAAGGUUUAAAGACAAAUCAUUACACAUUGACUUUAAAGGGAAAGAUAAAAGGAAAGAUAAAAUUCCCUGAGGGCAUCUGGAAAACGCUGACAGGAUAGAUACUACGAACCUCCUUAUACAAUUCUAUGCUGGAGAUGAUGCAGUUGAUGUGAGUAUAGAAGACUUCAUUCUGAUCAAUCUCAGAGAUGCUGCUGCCAAACUAAGAGAAGGGAAGGAAGGGAAGAACCAAAGCAUUCGCCUAUUUACCCGCUCUGUCAAGCAUUGAAGGAUUCAAACUGUAAACCAAAGAAGUUACAACUGCAUUGGUUUGAACUCACAGAAGCUAGUUGGGAGGAUCUUGCCACUGUGUUUUCCAUCCACUGGAGCCUGAUAGAUUUGGAUCUGUGUGGUACUUUAAUGAAAAUUCCUGUAAUGAGGCAGCUGUGUGAGUGGGUGAAACAUCCAAACUGCAAGUUACAA